AUUUACUCCACCACUCCCCAGGGAGUAGGAACACGCUCUUCUGUUUUAAAGAAAGGGAAGAGGGAUCAAGAUAGCUAUGGAUGCUGAUCUCAUCUGAACUUCAAGCAUUGACCUUUAUCCUCCAAACACAUAUAUGAGGAUGUUCUCCUGGGAGGCAGAGGACAAGGAAGGUCAAGAUGAACGCUGAUGACGUAACAAGGACUGAAGCUGAAGCUCCAAUACUUUGGCCACCUGCUGUGAAGAGCCAACUCAUUGGAAAAGACCCUGAUGCUGGGAAGGAUUGAGGGCAGGAGGAGAAGGGGGUGACAGAGGAUGACAUGGUUGGAUGGCAUCAGCGAUUCGAUGGACAUGAGUUUGAGCAAGCUCCAGGAGGCAGUGAAGGACAGGGAAGCCUAGUGUGGUGCAGUUCAUGGGGUUGCAAAGAGCCAGACAUCACUUACAGACUGAACAACAACAACAACACAUACUGUAUAAUGAUGAUUUGAAAAAUAAAAUUAUUAAGGACAGCAUUAAAUGUUGAGCUGAUAUAAAGUUUCCAAAUAAAAUACAUUCC
ensembl:lncRNA